AGAGUUUGAUCCUGGCUCAGGAUGAACGCUGGCGGCGUGCUUAACACAUGCAAGUCGAACGAAGCACUUUAUUUGAUUUCCUUCGGGACUGAUUAUUUUGUGACUGAGUGGCGGACGGGUGAGUAACGCGUGGGUAACCUGCCUUGUACAGGGGGAUAACAGUUGGAAACGGCUGCUAAUACCGCAUAAGCGCACAGCAUCGCAUGAUGCAGUGUGAAAAACUCCGGUGGUAUAAGAUGGACUCGCGUUGGAUUAGCUAGUUGGUGAGGUAACGGCCCACCAAGGCGACGAUCCAUAGCCGACCUGAGAGGGUGACCGGCCACAUUGGGACUGAGACACGGCCCAGACUCCUACGGGAGGCAGCAGUGGGGAAUAUUGCACAAUGGGGGAAACCCUGAUGCAGCGACGCCGCGUGGAGGAAGAAGGUCUUCGGAUUGUAAACUCCUGUUGUUGAGGAAGAUAAUGACGGUACUCAACAAGGAAGUGACGGCUAACUACGUGCCAGCAGCCGCGGUAAAACGUAGGUCACAAGCGUUGUCCGGAAUUACUGGGUGUAAAGGGAGCGCAGGCGGGAAGACAAGUUGGAAGUGAAAUCUAUGGGCUCAACCCAUAAACUGCUUUCAAAACUGUUUUUCUUGAGUAGUGCAGAGGUAGGCGGAAUUCCCGGUGUAGCGGUGGAAUGCGUAGAUAUCGGGAGGAACACCAGUGGCGAGGGCGGCCUACUGGGCACCAACUGACGCUGAGGCUCGAAAGUGUGGGUAGCAAACAGGAUUAGAUACCCUGGUAGUCCACACCGUAAACGAUGAUUACUAGGUGUUGG
rnacentral:rRNA from 1 species